rnacentral:lncRNA from 1 species
CAGAGUCGCAUGGGGUGAGGAGCCCAGGGACCGUGGCUGGACUGCAGGGUGGACCCAGCUUCCCCUCUACCUGCUAUUCCUCUGUUUACUGCACAUAAAAAUAGAUGGUAAGAAAAGGUUUGACCUCAGGGUUGAUGAAGAUUAAAUGCAGAAAAGUAAUGAAAGUGCUUAGAAUAUUACCAGUUACAAAUGAACAAAUACAUACACUGUCAAAGAGUUAAUAUCUACACAAAUUAUU